GACGAACGCUGGCGGCGUGCUUAACACAUGCAAGUCGAGCGGUAAGGCCCUUUCGGGGGUACACGAGCGGCGAACGGGUGAGUAACGCGUGGGUGACCUGCCCUUAGCUCUGGGAUAAGCCUGGGAAACUAGGGUCUAAUACCGGAUAUGACUCCAUGACGCAUGUUGUGGGGUGAAAGCCUUGUGCGGCUAGGGAUGGGCCUGCGGCCUAUCAGCUUGUUGGU
rnacentral:rRNA from 1 species